rnacentral:tRNA from 1 species
AUCUAAAUAGCUUAUAAGAGAGCAUGGUAUUGAAGAUACCAAGGAAAUAUAAAUAUUUUUAGAUA